AUUGAACGCUGGCGGCAGGCUUAACACAUGCAAGUCGAGCGGGGUGAUGGUGCUUGCACUAUCACUUAGCGGCGGACGGGUGAGUAAUGCUUAGGAAUCUGCCUAUUAGUGGGGGACAACAUCUCGAAAGGGAUGCUAAUACCGCAUACGUCCUACGGGAGAAAGCAGGGGAUCACUUGUGACCUUGCGCUAAUAGAUGAGCCUAAGUCGGAUUAGCUUGUAGGUGGGGUAAAGGCCUACCAAGGCGACGAUCUGUAGCGGGUCUGAGAGGAUGAUCCGCCACACUGGGACUGAGACACGGCCCAGACUGCUACGGGAGGCAGCAGUGGGGAAUAUUGGACAAUGGGGGGAACCCUGAUCCAGCCAUGCCGCGUGUGUGAAGAAGGCCUUAUGGUUGUAAAGCACUUUAAGCGAGGAGGAGGCUCUUUUGGUUAAUACCCAAGAUGAGUGGACGUUACUCGCAGAAUAAGCACCGGCUAACUCUGUGCCAGCAGCCGCCGUAA
rnacentral:rRNA from 1 species